UGUUUGCGUGUAAUAGAUUGAAAUGAGC
rnacentral:sRNA from 1 species